UACGGAGGGUGCAAGCGUUAUCCGGAUUCACUGGGUUUAAAGGGUGCGUAGGUGGGCAAGUAAGUCAGUGGUGAAAUCUCCGGGCUUAACCCGGAAACUGCCAUUGAUACUAUUUGUCUUGAAUACUGUGGAGGUCAGCGGAAUAUGUCAUGUAGCGGUGAAAUGCUUAGAUAUGACAUAGAACACCAAUUGCGAAGGCGGCUGGCUACACAAAUAUUGACACUGAGGCACGAAAGCGUGGGGAUCAAACAGG
rnacentral:rRNA from 1 species